rnacentral:rRNA from 1 species
UACGUAGGUGGCAAGCGUUGUCCGGAUUUACUGGGCGUAAAGAGCGCGCAGGCGGUCGUUCAAGUCGCGUGUGAAAGCCCCCGGCUCAACUGGGGAGGGUCACGCGAUACUGAUCGACUCGAAGGCAGGAGAGGGAAGUGGAAUUCCCGGUGUAGUGGUGAAAUGCGUAGAUAUCGGGAGGAACACCAGUGGCGAAGGCGGCAUCCUGGCCCGUACCUGACGCUGAGGCGCGAGAGCGUGGGGAGCAAACCGG